UGAAAGGCCUCCUUGUUGCUUAGCCUUGGCAGGGCUCUUCUGGAAGCCAGGCUCUCUCCUAGUCUGAGAAGGCAAGCUUUUUGCUGGAUUACAAAGUCUUCUCUGGUCGUGGCCACGGUCUGUCUACCCCACUCAGCGCCCGCCCUGUGUCCACACAUGCUUGUCAGACUGGACUGAGGAAGCCCACAACUGGGGUGGGUUUGGAAUUUCCAGUCCCCGUCAGCAUCUUACACUCCCAGGGUGGUUUCUUUCAGACUUAGCCCAGUUUUCUUUAGCCUCUCAGUUUCCGGGUCCAAUCUAAGCUACCAGACCAGCUCUGCCAAACCAGAGGCCCAGAUGGGAUCUGCCACUCCAGCCACUGUGAGCAGCUUUGGUUUCAGCCCAAAUGCCAGGACUCGAGAAGUGUCGACAAGGUUGAGGUCCUCCACUUCUUCCACCUUGGCUACCCCUGAGAUAGCAAGACCAAUCCUUCCUCUUCUUCCUCCUUCUCAGUCUACACAACAAGAAGACGACAAGGAUGAAGGCCUUUAUCAUGACUCACUUCCAUUCAAUGAAUAGUAAAUGUAUUUUCUCUUCCUUA
rnacentral:lncRNA from 1 species